rnacentral:rRNA from 1 species
AUUGAACGCUGGCGGCAUGCCUUACACAUGCAAGUCGAACGGCAGCACGGGAGCAAUCCUGGUGGCGAGUGGCGAACGGGUGAGUAAUAUAUCGGAACGUGCCCAGUCGUGGGGGAUCACGCAGCGAAAGCUGUGCUAAUACCGCAUACGAUCUACGGAUGAAAGCGGGGGAUCGCAAGACCUCGCGCGAUUGGAGCGGCCGAUAUCAGAUUAGCUAGUUGGUGAGGUAAAGGCUCACCAAGGCGACGAUCUGUAGCUGGUCUGAGAGGACGACCAGCCACACUGGAACUGAGACACGGUCCAGACUCCUACGGGAGGCAGCAGUGGGGAAUUUUGGACAAUGGGCGAAAGCCUGAUCCAGCAAUGCCGCGUGCAGGAUGAAGGCCUUCGGGUUGUAAACUGCUUUUGUACGGAACGAAACGGUGAGCUCUAAUACAGUUUGCUAAUGGCGGUACCGUAAGAAUAAGCACCGGCUAACUACGUGCCAGCCGCCGCCGUAACAC